rnacentral:rRNA from 1 species
GUAGGUGGCAAGCGUUGUCCGGAAUUAUUGGGCGUAAAGCGCGCGCAGGCGGUUCUUUAAGUCUGAUGUGAAAGCCCACGGGCUCAACCGUGGAGGGUCAUUGGAAACUGGAGAACUUGAGUACAGAAGAGGAAAGCGGAAUUCCACGUGUAGCGGUGAAAUGCGUAGAGAUGUGGAGGAACACCAGUGGCGAAGGCGGCUUUCUGGUCUGUAACUGACGCUGAGGGGCGAAAGCGUGGGGAGCAAACAGGAUUAGAUACCCUGGUAGUCCACGCCGUAAACGAUGAGUGCUAAGUGUUAGGGGGUUUCCGCCCCUUAGUGCUGCAGCUAACGCAUUAAGCACUCCGCCUGGGGAGUACGGCCGCAAAGGCUG